rnacentral:rRNA from 1 species
UACGAGGGGGGCGAGCGUUGUUCGGAAUUAUUGGGCGUAAAGGGUGCGUAGGCGGUUCCGCAAGUCCUGUGUGAAAUCUUCGGGCUCAACUCGAAGUCUGCACGGGAAACUGCGGGGCUUGAGUGUGGGAGAGGUGAGUGGAAUUCCCGGUGUAGCGGUGAAAUGCGUAGAUAUCGGGAGGAACAUCAGUGGCGAAGGCGGCUGCCUGGCCCAAUACUGACACUCAGGUGCGACAGCGUGGGGAGCAAACAGG